AAGCAGGAUUCAGAUCACCUUAUGACUGUCAAGUGCUGUGGUGGAGUUCCCCUGCUCAAAAUUAGGUUGUUUCUCAAUUAUCCCUCUCUGCUAUGCUCCUGGAGGAGCCAGGGACACUUGGCCUCAUAUUU
rnacentral:snoRNA from 1 species